UACGUAGGGGGCAAGCGUUGUCCGGAAUCAUUGGGCGUAAAGCGCGUGUAGGCGGCUUCGUAAGUCCGUUGUGAAAGUCCAGGGCUCAACCCCGGAAUGCCGAUGGAUACUGCGGAGCUAGAGUCCGGAAGAGGCGAGUGGAAUUCCUGGUGUAGCGGUGAAAUGCGCAGAUAUCAGGAGGAACACCGAUGGCGAAGGCAGCUCGCUGGGACGGUACUGACGCUGAGGCGCGAAAGCGUGGGGAGCAAACAGG
rnacentral:rRNA from 1 species